GACGUAGGGCGCGAGCGUUGUCCGGAUUUAUUGGGCGUAAAGAGCUCGUAGGCGGCUUGUCGCGUCGAAUGUGAAAUCUCAGGGCUCAACUCUGACAUUGCAUUCGAUACGGGCAGGCUAGAGUUCGGUAGGGGAGACUGGAAUUCCUGGUGUAGCGGUGAAAUGCGCAGAUAUCAGGAGGAACACCGGUGGCGAAGGCGGGCAUCUGGGCGAUACUGACGCUGAGGUGCGAAAGCGUGGGGAGCAAACAGG
rnacentral:rRNA from 1 species